GUGGUUAUUCCCAAUUGGAUAUUAGAACUUAAGGUUGCAUAUCAAUCUGUACCCAUAACUUGCAGCUAUGUACUGGCUUUGUUUAUUAAGGUUUGUCGGCUCCCACAAAACAAAUGUUGGCUGCAUUUUUGCCUUAUAGUCGUAACCAGUUUUAAAGCGAUAUUGUGAUACGUGACCUGUACAUAUAUUCAAGUGCCUUUUUAUUAUCGUUGCUCAAGAAUGA